rnacentral:rRNA from 1 species
UACGGAGGGUGCGAGCGUUGUCCGGAAUCAUUGGGCGUAAAGGGCGCGUAGGUGGCUUCUCAAGCGUGCGGUGAAAGCCUGGGGCUCAACCUCGGAACUGCCUUCGAUACUGCGGGUCUCGAGUCCGGGAGAGGUGAGUGGAAUUCCUAGUGUAGAGGUGAAAUUCGUAGAUAUUAGGAAGAACACCAGUGGCGAAGGCGGCUCACUGGCCCGGUACUGACGCUGAGGCGCGAAAGCGUGGGGAGCAAACAGG